rnacentral:rRNA from 1 species
UACGUAGGGUGCGAGCGUUAAUCGGAAUUACUGGGCGUAAAGCGUGCGCAGGCGGUUGUGCAAGACAGAUGUGAAAUCCCCGGGCUUAACCUGGGAACUGCAUUUGUGACUGCACGGCUAGAGUGUGUCAGAGGGGGGGUAGAAUUCCACGUGUAGCAGUGAAAUGCGUAGAUAUGUGGAGGAAUACCGAUGGCGAAGGCAGCCCCCUGGGAUAACACUGACGCUCAUGCACGAAAGCGUGGGGAGCAAACGGG